rnacentral:rRNA from 1 species
UACGUAGGGGGCAAGCGUUGUCCGGAUUUACUGGGCGUAAAGCGCGCGUAGGCGGAGCGUUAAGUCCGGUCUGAAAGCCCCCGGCUCAACCGGGGAAGGUGGCUGGAAACUGGCGUUCUGGAGGGCGAUAGAGGAGCGUGGAAUUCCUGGUGUAGCGGUGAAAUGCGCAGAUAUCAGGAAGAACACCCGUGGCGAAGGCGGCUCUCUGGUACGUGACUGACGCUGAGACGCGAAAGCGUGGGGAGCAAACAGG